GGCUGACUUAAGCAUAUCAAUAAGCGGAGGAAAAGAAACCAACCGGGAUUGCCUUAGUAACGGCGAGUGAAGCGGCAAAAGCUCAAAUUUGAAAUCUGGUACCUUCGGUGCCCGAGUUGUAAUUUGGAGAGGGCAACUUUGGGGCCGUUCCUUGUCUAUGUUCCUUGGAACAGGACGUCAUAGAGGGUGAGAAUCCCGUGUGGCGAGGAGUGCGGUUCUUUGUAAAGUGCCUUCGAAGAGUCGAGUUGUUUGGGAAUGCAGCUCUAAGUGGGUGGUAAAUUCCAUCUAAAGCUAAAUAUUGGCGAGAGACCGAUAGCGAACAAGUACAGUGAUGGAAAGAUGAAAAGAACUUUGAAAAGAGAGUGAAAAAGUACGUGAAAUUGUUGAAAGGGAAGGGCAUUUGAUCAGACAUGGUGUUUUGUGCCCUCUGCUCCUUGUGGGUAGGGGAAUCUCGCAUUUCACUGGGCCAGCAUCAGUUUUGGUGGCAGGAUAAAUCCAUAGGAAUGUAGCUUGCCUCGGUAAGUAUUAUAGCCUGUGGGAAUACUGCCAGCUGGGACUGAGGACUGCGACGUAAGUCAAGGAUG
rnacentral:rRNA from 1 species